rnacentral:lncRNA from 1 species
AGGUGUGAUCAAAUGGUGGAAACAUAGUCAAAUUUAACUGAGAUGUCUAAAGUGAUUUUCGCCAAUGGAAAACACUUUAGUAAGAUAAGGAAUCUUCUUCCUCAUUUGAAAUUUUGGGCUAGAAUCCUUCUUGGAUGAAUUCAUCCCAAACCGUUGAUCAGUGCAUUUUGAUGCACCUUCUUCUACUAUUGUACUUAGGAAAAUCUAUAGUUUAUUUUAUUAUUUUUACUAUUUUAGUGUGUUUUUACAUUUAAGUUUAUUUUUG